rnacentral:rRNA from 1 species
AGUGAACGCUGGCGGUAGGCCUAACACAUGCAAGUCGAACGGCAGCACAGGAGAGCUUGCUCUCUGGGUGGCGAGUGGCGGACGGGUGAGGAAUACAUCGGAAUCUACUCUGUCGUGGGGGAUAACGUAGGGAAACUUACGCUAAUACCGCAUACGACCUACGGGUGAAAGCAGGGGACCUUCGGGCCUUGCGCGAUUGAAUGAGCCGAUGUAGGAUUAGCUCGUUGGCGGGGUAAAGGCCCACCAAGGCGACGAUCCGUAGCUGGUCUGAGAGGAUGAUCAGCCACACUGGAACUGAGACACGGUCCAGACUCCUACGGGAGGCAGCAGUGGGGAAUAUUGGACAAUGGGCGCAAGCCUGAUCCAGCCAUACCGCGUGGGUGAAGAAGGCCUUCGGGUUGUAAAGCCCUUUUGUUGGGAAAGAAAUCCAGCUGGCUAAUACCCGGUUGGGAUGACGGUACCCAAAGAAUAAGCACCGGCUAACUUCGUGCCAGCAGCCGCCGUAA